rnacentral:rRNA from 1 species
GGGUCUUAUCGACCCGGGAGACAGUGUCAGGUGGGCAGUUUGACUGGGGCGGUCGCCUCCUAAAGUGUAACGGAGGCGCCCAAAGGUUCCCUCAGAAUGGUUGGAAAUCAUUCGUAGAGUGCAAAGGCAUAAGGGAGCUUGACUGCGAGACCUACAAGUCGAGCAGGGACGAAAGUCGGGCUUAGUGAUCCGGUGGUUCCGCAUGGAAGGGCCAUCGCUCAACGGAUAAAAGCUACCCCGGGGAUAACAGGCUUAUCUCCCCCAAGAGUCCACAUCGACGGGGAGGUUUGGCACCUCGAUGUCGGCUCAUCGCAUCCUGGGGCUGUAGUCGGUCCCAAGGGUUGGGCUGUUCGCCCAUUAAAGCGGUACGCGAGCUGGGUUCAGAACGUCGUGAGACAGUUCGGUCCCUAUCCGUCGUGGGCGUAGGAAAUUUGAGAGGAGCUGUCCUUAGUACGAGAGGACCGGGAUGGACGCACCGCUGGUGUACCAGUUGUUCUGCCAAGGGCAUAGCUGGGUAGCUAUGUGCGGAAGGGAUAAGUGCUGAAAGCAUCUAAGCAUGAAGCCCCCCUCAAGAUGAGAUUUCCCAUAGCGUAAGCUAGUAAGAUCCCUGAAAGAUGAUCAGGUUGAUAGGUUCGAGGUGGAAGCAUGGUGACAUGUGGAGCUGACGAAUACUAAUAGAUCGAGGACUUAACCAUAUAA